GACGAACGCUGGCGGCGUGCUUAACACAUGCAAGUCGAACGGAAAGGCCCUGCUUUUGUUGGGUGCUCGAGUGGCGAACGGGUGAGUAACACGUGUGUAACCUGCCCUUGACUUUGGGAUAACUUUAGGGAACUGGGGCUAAUACCGGAUAGGAGCUCCUGCUGCAUGGUGGGGGUUGGAAAGUUUCGGCGGUUGGGGAUCGACUCGCGGCUUAUCAGCUUGUUGGUGUGGUAGUGGCUUACCAAGGCUUUGACGGGUAGCCGGCCUGAGAGGGUUACCGGCGACAAUGGGACUGAGAGACGGCGCAGACGCCUACGGGAGGCAGCAGUGGGGAAUAUUGCACAAUGGGCGGAAGCCUGAUGCAGAAACGCCGCGUGCGGGAUGACGGGUUUCGGGUUGUAAACCGCUGUCGACUGUGACGAAGCGUGAGUGACGGUAAUGGGUAAAGAAGCACCGGCUAACUACGUG
rnacentral:rRNA from 1 species